rnacentral:rRNA from 1 species
AUUGAACGCUGGCGGCAUGCUUUACACAUGCAAGUCGAACGGUAACGGGGACUUCGGUCUGCCGACGAGUGGCGAACGGGUGAGUAAUAUAUCGGAACGUGCCCAGUAAUGGGGGAUAGCUCGGCGAAAGCCGGAUUAAUACCGCAUACGCCCUGAGGGGGAAAGUGGGGGAUCUUCGGACCUCACGUUAUUGGAGCGGCCGAUAUCAGAUUAGCUAGUUGGUGGGGUAAAGGCCUACCAAGGCGACGAUCUGUAGCUGGUCUGAGAGGAUGAUCAGCCACACUGGGACUGAGACACGGCCCAGACUCCUACGGGAGGCAGCAGUGGGGAAUUUUGGACAAUGGGCGCAAGCCUGAUCCAGCAAUACCGCGUGUGUGAAGAAGGCCCUAGGGUUGUAAAGCACUUUCAAUUGGGAGGAAAAAUAAGCGUUAAUACCGCUUAUCUUGACAUUACCUUUAGAAGAAGCACCGGCUAACUCCGUGCCAGCAGCCGCGGUAAUGUCGAUA